rnacentral:rRNA from 1 species
UACGUAGGUGGCAAGCGUUGUCCGGAAUUAUUGGGCGUAAAGCGUGCGCAGGCGGUUAUGCAAGACAGAUGUGAAAUCCCCGGGCUCAACCUGGGAACUGCAUUUGUGACUGCAUGGCUAGAGUACGGUAGAGGGGGAUGGAAUUCCGCGUGUAGCAGUGAAAUGCGUAGAUAUGCGGAGGAACACCGAUGGCGAAGGCAAUCCCCUGGACCUGUACUGACGCUCAUGCACGAAAGCGUGGGGAGCAAACAGG